rnacentral:rRNA from 1 species
GCUUAACUGUGGGCUUGCGGUCGAUACGGGCAGACUUGAGUUCGGCAGGGGAGACUGGAAUUCCUGGUGUAGCGGUGAAAUGCGCAGAUAUCAGGAGGAACACCGGUGGCGAAGGCGGGUCUCUGGGCCGAUACUGACGCUGAGGAGCGAAAGCGUGGGGAGCGAACAGGAUUAGAUACCCUGGUAGUCCACGCCGUAAACGGUGGGCGCUAGGUGUGGGGACUGGUUCCACGGUUUCCGUGCCGUAGCUAACGCAUUAAGCGCCCCGCCUGGGGAGUACGGCCGCAAGGCUAAAACUCAAAGGAAUUGACGGGGGCCCGCACAAGCGGCGGAGCAUGUGGAUUAAUUCGAUGCAACGCGAAGAACCUUACCUGGGUUUGACAUGCACUGGAUCGCCCUAGAGAUAGGGUUUCCCUUGUGGCUGGUGCACAGGUGGUGCAUGGCUGUCGCCAGCUCGUGUCGUGAGAUGUUGGGUUAAGUCCCGCAACGAGCGCAACCCUUGCCCCAUGUUGCCAGCGGUUCGGCCGGGGACUCGUGGGGGACUGCCGGGGUCAACUCGGAGGAAGGUGGGGAUGACGUCAAGUCAUCAUGCCCCUUAUGCCCAGGGCUUCACACAUGCUACAAUGGCCGGUACAGAG